rnacentral:rRNA from 1 species
GGACUACAGGGGUAUCUAAUCCUGUUCGCUCCCCACGCUUUCGCUCCUCAGCGUCAGUGCCGGCCCAGACCACCGCCUUCGCCACCGGUGUUCCUCCUGAUAUCUGCGCAUUUCACCGCUACACCAGGAAUUCCGUGGUCCCCUACCGGACUCUAGCCAGACCAGUAUCAGGUGGCGACUCCAGGUUGAGCCUGGAGGUUUCACACCUGACUUAGUCAGCCGCCUACGAGCUCUUUACGCCCAAUGAAUCCGGACAACGCUCGCCCCCUACGUAUUACCGCGGCUGCUGGCAC